CCUACGGGAGGCAGCAGUAGGGAAUCUUCCACAAUGGACGAAAGUCUGAUGGAGCAACGCCGCGUGAGUGAAGAAGGGUUUCGGCUCGUAAAGCUCUGUUGGUAGUGAAGAAAGAUAGAGGUAGUAACUUGCCUUUAUUUGACGGUAAUUACUUAGAAAGUCACGGCUAACUACGUGCCAGCAGCCGCGGUAAUACGUAGGUGGCAAGCGUUGUCCGGAUUUAUUGGGCGUAAAGCGAGUGCAGGCGGUUCAAUAAGUCUGAUGUGAAAUCCUUCGGCUCAACCGGAGAAUUGCAUCAGAAACUGUUGAACUUGAGUGCAGAAGAGGAGAGUGGAACUCCAUGUGUAGCGGUGGAAGGCGGAGAUAUAUGGAAGAACACCAGUGGCGAAGGCGGCUCUCUGGUCUGCAACUGACGCUGAGGCUCGAAAGCAUGGGUAGCGAACAGGAUUAGAUACCCCAGUAGUC
rnacentral:rRNA from 1 species